GGGCGUGUGGUCUAGUGGUAUGAUUCUCGCUUUGGGAUGUGAGAGGCCCUGGGUUCAAUUCCCAGCUCGCCCC